GUGAGGAAUUUUCCGCAAUGGGCGAAAGCCUGACGGAGCAAUGCCGCGUGAAGGAUGAAGGCCUAUGGGUUGUAAACUUCUUUUCUCAGAAAAGAAUUAUGACGGUAUCUGAGGAAUAAGCAUCGGCUAACUCUGUGCCAGCAGCCGCGGUAAGCCAGAGGAUGCAAGCGUUAUCCGGAAUGAUUGGGCGUAAAGCGUCUGUAGGUUGUUUAAAAAGUAUUCUGUCAAAGAUUAGGGCUUAACCCUAGAUAGGCAGAAUAAACUUUUAAGCUAGAGUUUGGUAGAGGCAGAGGGAAUUCCCGGUGGAGCGGUGAAAUGCGUAGAUAUCGGGAGGAACACCAAAGGCGAAGGCACUCUGCUGGGCCAAUACUAACACUGAGAGACGAAAGCGAGGGGAGCAAAUGGGAUUAGAUACCCGAGUAGUCC
rnacentral:rRNA from 1 species